CCUUCGGGGUACUCGAGCGGCGAACGGGUGAGUAACACGUGAGCAACCUGCCCUAGGCUUUGGGAUAACCCCGGGAAACCGGGGCUAAUACCGAAUAGGACCUCUGACCGCAUGGUUGGUGGUGGAAAGUUUUUCGGCCUGGGAUGGGCUCGCGGCCUAUCAGCUUGUUGGUGGGGUGAUGGCCUACCAAGGCGACGACGGGUAGCCGGCCUGAGAGGGCGACCGGCCACACUGGGACUGAGACACGGCCCAGACUCCUACGGGAGGCAGCAGUGGGGAAUAUUGCACAAUGGGCGGAAGCCUGAUGCAGCGACGCCGCGUGAGGGAUGACGGCCUUCGGGUUGUAAACCUCUUUCAGCAGGGACGAAGCGUAAGUGACGGUACCUGCAGAAGAAGCGCCGGCCAACUACGUGCCAGCAGCCGCGGUAAGACGUAGGGCGCGAGCGUUGUCCGGAUUUAUUGGGCGUAAAGAGCUCGUAGGCGGCUUGUCGCGUCGACUGUGAAAACCCGCAGCUCAACUGCGGGCCUGCAGUCGAUACGGGCAGGCUAGAGUUC
rnacentral:rRNA from 1 species